ACUUAAAUUGAAGAGUUUGAUCAUGGCUCAGAUUGAACGCUGGCGGCAGGCCUAACACAUGCAAGUCGAGCGGUAGCACAGAGAGCUUGCUCUCGGGUGACGAGCGGCGGACGGGUGAGUAAUGUCUGGGAAACUGCCUGAUGGAGGGGGAUAACUACUGGAAACGGUAGCUAAUACCGCAUAAUGUCGCAAGACCAAAGUGGGGGACCUUCGGGCCUCAUGCCAUCAGAUGUGCCCAGAUGGGAUUAGCUAGUAGGUGGGGUAACGGCUCACCUAGGCGACGAUCCCUAGCUGGUCUGAGAGGAUGACCAGCCACACUGGAACUGAGACACGGUCCAGACUCCUACGGGAGGCAGCAGUGGGGAAUAUUGCACAAUGGGCGCAAGCCUGAUGCAGCCAUGCCUCGUGUGUGAAGAAGGCCUUCGGGUUGUAAAGCACUUUCAGCGGGGAGGAAGGCG
rnacentral:rRNA from 1 species